rnacentral:rRNA from 1 species
UCCAUAGGUUAAUGAGGCGAACCGGGGGAACUGAAACAUCUAAGUACCCCGAGGAAAAGAAAUCAACCGAGAUUCCCCCAGUAGCGGCGAGCGAACGGGGAGGAGCCCAGAGCCUGAAUCAGCAUGUGUGUUAGUGGAAGCGUCUGGAAAGGCGCGCGAUACAGGGUGACAGCCCCGUACACAAAAGCGCAUGUGCUGUGAGCUCGAUGAGUAGGGCGGGACACGUGGUAUCCUGUCUGAAUAUGGGGGGACCAUCCUCCAAGGCUAAAUACUCCUGACUGACCGAUAGUGAACCAGUACCGUGAGGGAAAGGCGAAAAGAACCCCGGCGAGGGGAGUGAAAAAGAACCUGAAACCGUGUACGUACAAGCAGUGGGAGCCCCACCACUAAGCCAGUGGUGAACUCCACAUACGCAUCCUUUGCUGAGGAUACGGUUAACGGAGCGAAAGCGACGUUCAACCUCAAAAGAAGCAGAGGGGGCUUAGUGGUGGGGUGACUGCGUACCUUUUGUAUAAUGGGUCAGCGACUUAUAUUCUGUAGCAAGGUUAACCGAAUAGGGGAGCCGGAGGGAAACCGAGUCUUAACCGGGCGUUAAGUUGCAGGGUAUAGACCCGAAACCCGGUGAUCUAGCCAUGGGCAGGUUGAAGGUUGGGUAACACUAACUGGAGGACCGAACCGACUAAUGUUGAAAAAUUAGCGGAUGACCUGUGGCUGGGGGUGAAAGGCCAAUCAAACCGGGAGAUAGCUGGUUCUCCCCGAAAGCUAUUUAGGUAGCGCCUCGUGAAUUCAUCUCCGGGGGUAGAGCACUGUUUCGGCUAGGGGGCCAUCCCGGCUUACCAACCCGAUGCAAACUGCGAAUACCGGAGAAUGUUAUCACGGGAGACACACGGCGGGUGCUAACGUCCGUCGUGAAGAGGGAAACAACCCAGACCGCCAGCUAAGGUCCCAAAGUCAUGGUUAAGUGGGAAACGAUGUGGGAAGGCCCAGACAGCCAGGAUGUUGGCUUAGAAGCAGCCAUCAUUUAAAGAAAGCGUAAUAGCUCACUGGUCGAGUCGGCCUGCGCGGAAGAUGUAACGGGGCUAAACCAUGCACCGAAGC